GAGAGGAAAGGGAAGGUUAGAGGGUUUGGAGGUAUAGGGUUAAAAUGCAUCAUGCACUUACAUGCAAAUAUCCUCAUGAAACCUAGCAGCAUGUGCAGUGAAUACGUGUCAGUAAAAAUAAACCGAAAAGGUAAACCUGGUUAUGCCUUUGAAACCAGACAGUUAUAAUAGCAGAAAUGGGGGCUUGGAGAUUUGAGACAACAUGCUUUCAGGGAUCUCGGCUAGGAAGAUAAGGAUGGGUGCUUCCUGUUGCAGCCUUGACCUUUUGUCUGACUUGUUGUUUCCUCAAUUCUGUGAAUGAUUUAGGAGCAAUGGAGCCAUAUGUCAGCACAGCCUGGGGCAGCCAGGGAGCCCCCAGCCCUCCUCUCAGCAAGCCCACCCCCACCGUGAGAGCAGAAAGCAGCGCUUCCCACACAGAGACACCUGGGGCGGCUGCCAUUCGCCAUUGCCACCAGAGCCCAAGAGCAGUGGAUUCCCUGUGUCCCCGAGAGCACUGUGGUCGCUGAUGAGGUAAGAGGGAGUAACAGGAGGUUGGCUCUGUUGUGAUGUGCCAGCCAGAGAGAGGAGACUUCUGCCCUACAUGAGCAAGCCUUCCUGCCCCUCUCCCUUCCUCCUUCUCCGUGAAACCCUGUUGUGCUAUUGAGCCCUCACACCUACUGCUUUGAACUACAGUCCCUCGUCUGCCCAGGGUACCUGGGCUGUGAAUAAACUUGCCCCCUCCUUGCCCACUUUCUUCUCUGUACUUAACUGACCUUCGAGCAGCAUGUAGCUUGGACUCCAGUUAAUUUUCCUUCACUUCUGCCUUUCCCCUGUGAAGUUGGACAUUCUUAAAUUUCAAUGUUAAAAGAAAAACAAAAGCAAAACUGUCAAGGUAAAUCAUGGUGUGUUAGAUUUGAGCUCUUCUCUGAAAUCUCCUGGGGUUUGCUUAAGUCCUCCAUUCCAGCGACUACUGACACUUUCCUUCUGCCUCAUUAUUCCCUGCCUGUGAACUGUGGGUGUAGAGGGAAUGUGGUAGGCCAUCCCCUUGUGUAAUGACAUCAUCUGACCCCGACCCUGGCACUCUCUCCUUUCCACACAGCCCUGUCAUUCAUUCAUUUAUUUCUCCAUCCAAGUGCACUGUUUAAAAAUGAGUCUUUUUGUUUAAGAUAAUAAAUAAAACAUAUCAUGCCUGGGUUUGGCAUGAUAUGUUUUUAAUAAACUGAGAACUGUUUCA